rnacentral:rRNA from 1 species
CCUACGUGUGGCUGCAGUGGGGAAUAUUGGACAAUGGGCGAAAGCCUGAUCCAGCCAUGCCGCGUGUGUGAAGAAGGCCUUCGGGUUGUAAAGCACUUUCAGUGGGGAAGAAAGCCUUGGGGCUAAUACCCUCGAGGAAGGACAUCACCCACAGAAGAAGCACCGGCUAACUCCGUGCCAGCAGCCGCGGUAAUACGGAGGGUGCGAGCGUUAAUCGGAAUUACUGGGCGUAAAGCGCGCGUAGGCGGUCUGAUAAGCCGGUUGUGAAAGCCCCGGGCUCAACCUGGGAACGGCAUCCGGAACUGUCAGGCUAGAGUGCAGGAGAGGAAGGUAGAAUUCCCGGUGUAGCGGUGAAAUGCGUAGAGAUCGGGAGGAAUACCAGUGGCGAAGGCGGCCUUCUGGACUGACACUGACGCUGAGGUGCGAAAGCGUGGGUAGCAAACAGGAUUAGAUACCCGAGUAGUC